rnacentral:rRNA from 2 species
GAGCAUGUGGUUUAAUUCGAAGCAACGCGAAGAACCUUACCAGGGCUUGACAUGCCGCUGACCGGUGCAGAGAUGCAUCUUUAUCCGUUCGGGGUACAGCGGACACAGGUGGUGCAUGGUUGUCGUCAGCUCGUGUCGUGAGAUGUUGGGUUAACGUCCCGACAACGAGCGCAACCCUUGUCUUUAGUUGCCAUCAUUAAGUUGGGCACUCUAAAGAGACUGCCGAUGACAAAUCGGAGGAAGGUGGGGAUGACGUCAAAUCAUCAUGCCCUUUAUGUCCUGGGCUACACACGUGCUACAAUGGUCGGUACAACGAGAAGCAAGCCAGCGAUGGCAAGCAAAUCUCUAAAAGCCGAUCCCAGUUCGGAUUGCAGGCUGCAACUCGCCUGCAUGAAGUCGGAGUUGCUAGUAAUCGCGGAUCAGAAUGCCGCGGUGAAUGCGUUCCCGGGUCUU